rnacentral:rRNA from 1 species
AGGUUAAGUUAAUAAGGGCGCACGGUGGAUGCCUUGGCACUAGGAGCCGAUGAAGGACGGUACGAACACCGAUAUGCUUCGGGGAGCUGUAAGUAAGCUGUGAUCCGGAGAUUUCCGAAUGGGGGAACCCCUUAUCCGUAAUGGGAUAUGAUCUUCCGCUGAAUACAUAGGCGGUUGAAGGCAGACCCAGGGAACUGAAACAUCUAAGUACCUGGAGGAAGAGAAAGCAAAUGCGAUUCCCUGAGUAGCGGCGAGCGAAACGGGAUCAGCCCAAACCGAAAGGCUUGCCUUUCGGGGUUGUAGGACACUCUAUACGGAGUUACAAAAGAAGCAGUUAGACGAAGCGGUCUGGAAAGGCCCAUCACAGAAGGUAACAAUCCUGUAGUCGAAAGCUGUUUCUCUCCAGAGUGGAUCCUGAGUACGGCGGAACACGUGAAAUUCCGUCGGAAUCCGGGAGGACCAUCUCCCAAGGCUAAAUACUCCCUAGUGACCGAUAGUGAACCAGUACCGUGAGGGAAAGGUGAAAAGCACCCCGGAAGGGGAGUGAAAUAGAUCCUGAAACCGUGUGCCUACAAGUAGUCAGAGCCCGUUAACGGGUGAUGGCGUGCCUUUUGUAGAAUGAACCGGCGAGUUACGAUUUGAUGCAAGGUUAAGCGAAAGCGGAGCCGCAGCGAAAGCGAGUCUGAAUAGGGCGACAUAGUAUCAGGUUGUAGACCCGAAACCAGGUGAUCUACCCAUGUCCAGGGUGAAGAUGAGGUAACACUCAUUGGAGGCCCGAACCCACGCACGUUGAAAAGUGCGGGGAUGAGGUGUGGGUAGCGGAGAAAUUCCAAUCGAACCUGGAGAUAGCUGGUUCUCUCCGAAAUAGCUUUAGGGCUAGCCUCAUGUAGUAAGAGUCUUGGAGGUAGAGCACUGUUUGGACUAGGGGCCCCCAACGGGUUACCGAAUUCAGACAAACUCCGAAUGCCAAAGACUUAUCCAUGGGAGUCAGACUGCGAGUGAUAAGAUCCGUAGUCGAAAGGGAAACAGCCCAGACCACCAGCUAAGGUCCCCAAGUAAUCGUUAAGUGGAAAAGGAUGUGGGGUUGCUUAGACAACCAGGAUGUUGGCUUAGAAGCAGCCAUCAUUUAAAGAGUGCGUAAUAGCUCACUGGUCGAGUGACCCUGCGCCGAAAAUGUACCGGGGCUAAACGAUUCACCGAAGCUGUGGAUGAAUCUCUAUGAGAUUCGUGGUAGGAGAGCGUUCUAAGCGCUGUGAAGUCAGACCGGAAGGACUGGUGGAGUACUUAGAAGUGAGAAUGCCGGUAUGAGUAGCGAAAGAAGAGUGAGAAUCUCUUCCACCGAAAGCCCAAGGUUUCCUGAGGAAGGCUCGUCCGCUCAGGGUUAGUCGGGACCUAAGCCGAGGCCGAUAGGCGUAGGCGAUGGACAACAGGUUGAUAUUCCUGUACCACCAACACAUCGUUUGAGUAAUGGGGGGACGCAGGAGGAUAGGAGAGCACGCCGUUGGUUGCGCGUGUUUAAGCAGGUAGGCAGGAAAUGAGGCAAAUCCCGUUUCCGUGUAAGCUGAGCUGUGAUGACGAGGGAAAU